rnacentral:rRNA from 1 species
GGAGCAACGCCGCGUGAACGAAGAAGGCCUUCGGGUCGUAAAGUUCUGUUGUUAGGGAAGAACAAGUACCAGAGUAACUGCUGGUACCUUGACGGUACCUAACCAGAAAGCCACGGCUAACUACGUGCCAGCAGCCGCGGUAAUACGUAGGUGGCAAGCGUUGUCCGGAAUUAUUGGGCGUAAAGCGCGCGCAGGUGGUUCUUUAAGUCUGAUGUGAAAGCCCACGGCUCAACCGUGGAGGGUCAUUGGAAACUGGGGAACUUGAGUGCAGAAGAGGAAAGUGGAAUUCCAAGUGUAGCGGUGAAAUGCGUAGAGAUUUGGAGGAACACCAGUGGCGAAGGCGACUUUCUGGUCUGUAACUGACACUGAGGCGCGAAAGCGUGGGGAGCAAACAGGAUUAGAUACCCUGGUAGUCCACGCCGUAAACGAUGAGUGCUAAGUGUUAGAGGGUUUCCGCCCUUUAGUGCUGCAGCUAACGCAU